rnacentral:lncRNA from 1 species
UUAUGUAAGCAGAAAACAAAUUUAACAGGAUUACAGCAUUUUCUAUACAAGGCUGGUUUAUGGGUUACAGCAAUGUAAUGUUUUAAUGUGGAAGUAAAUGAAGGUCACCAAAAUGAAAACAAAGAAAGGCUAUGUAUUCAGCACUUGCUGUAGCAAGGUAAUCGUCCACCACCACUUGUGUCUGGCAAAGACUCAAAGGCAGGCAGAGGAGUGGGAAAGCUUUAUAAUAAAAAGAGAGAGAAAGAUGAAUUCAGAAGUGUAAAUGAUUUUCUGCAUUCGAAAGGCUUUCUGAAGUAAAAAGAGUUAUAGGCGAAUUUAAAUUAUGAAAACCUGCCACCACCUAACUGCCCAAGAAAUCCAAGAAGCGCUUCAGUGAUCAUUUCUCCCAUUUUCAUAGCUAGCACUUAAAAUGACAGUACACACCAUAAUUUGAAAGUAUGUGCACAUAGAAAAAAGCCAUUCAAUCUGCCCACUUAGUCUCCCAUUUAUAUCUCCAAAUGCCUGUGCUUAAUGGUGGUUGUAAGGCAGAGUUGGAAAACUUCUUCUGAAAUUUUGAUUGAUUCAUUUCUUUUUCAGAAUUACAGAGUACAAAACGUUUUAGCUUUACUUCAUAACAAAUGUUUUGCCUACAGUCAUGGUGUCUCUGUAAAGCGAUUGGCUUAAUGAAAUCAAUAAUAAUGAUAUUGUGGUAAAGUUCCGGCAAAUAUAGCUACAAGUUAAUUUAAUUAAACUCCCAUAAUUGUUUAGAACAUUAGAGAACUGGAAAGGUUUCAAGGCAGUGAUUUUGUUUUCAUCAAUAUGUGGGAGCCCUGUCUGGCAGCCC